GGCUUUGUAGUGUAAUAUAACAUUUAGGAUUGCAAAUCCUUAGACGCAAUUAAAACAUUGCCAAAGCUU
rnacentral:tRNA from 1 species